UUGACCUCGGAUCAGGUAGGAAGUA
rnacentral:rRNA from 1 species